AUGCUUUCCGCAUAAGCAUAUCAGCUUUCUGUAUUGGAUAGCGUCAAGAUCCUCAUGAAAUCUUCUCUCGGACUGAGUUUAGCAGAUGAAAGCUCAAACAUUAAUGGCUGGCAUGAAAGAAAAAACAUGGGAUGAGUUUUAGAAAUACAGAACUGCUGAUCUUUCAGAAGUGACUGGUGAUUCUGAGUUGAGGUGACAUUCACUCACACGUUUACACAAAUGGAAACAUGGCAUUCAUGAGUCACUGAUAUUAAUGUGGGAUUAGGAACAAAAACCUAUGCUUCUUGACACCUACCUUCAGGUCUUCAAUGAACUGAGGGCUCAGUCUUCAGUGUUGUUUGGGGAACAUCUUCAAUUUCUGAGAACAUUGAAAACAAAAUGCUCCCCGCUAACAGGGCUGACCCUAAAGAAACUGGAUUUGCCUGGAUACAGCUGGAACGAGAAUCUGAUCCUAAGAUCUGCGCUGUGGGAGAUUUGCAGCUCUGUACUUUAGAGCAGAAGUUAGAUAAUGUUUCUGUUACUUAUUACUCAUAAUUAAGUAGUAUCUAUCCCAAAUACUGUUUUACUACUUCAGCUGGCAAAUGCUAACAUUUAAUGGCUUUACAGUUUGCAUGAGCAUUCUAACUGAGAAUUGUUUUUUCAAGCUAAGCACGAGAGAGGCAUAGUAGAGCAAAUGUAAAAAUUUUACAGAAAAAAGAUGUCAGUCUCUGAAAACUACUUUACAUGCUUUGUGAGUAUGCUCAAUAUGAUCAGCAAAAGCAUAUAGAUGGACCAAAUCCUCCUCCCACUGAAGUCAACACCCACUAUGCUGGUGAAAUUGGGUUUAGGCCUGUGAUUUUUAUCAGGACAACUUUAUGAAUAUUUACUUGAUAAAACUAUACACCAGAGAACUUUUCAAGGCAUCCAGCACUCCAUUUUCCUUUCUGGUGUGCCCCUUAGCCCAACUGCCAUUUUAGUUAUACUUCCUAGAUAGGGUUUGGCUAGAUGAAAGCGGUAGUAGGUGCACAAAGAAGGAAAAAAUAGCAAAUGUACAUUACAUCAGAAAAGCUGCAAAGCUAAAGAAAAUGCUAGCUUGAAGAAUCUUUGCAAGUAUUGCAAAGCUCUAUUGACUCACGCAAGGACAGAGAUGGAUAUGAUAAUGAUAACAUGAAAACAUAUGAUAUGAUAAUGAUAACAUGAAAAUAGAAAUUGACACUUUUUUAUAGACAGAAGAUUUAAAGCAGGUCUUUUUAUGUUGCCUGGUAAGUUGUACGGUUUUGAGGACAUUGGCUUCUUUGACAAUUGGAACAGCAAAUCAAGUAAAUAACAAAAAAUACUUUGCUGUAGACCUUUGCAAUGUUCCGAUUUCCAUGAUUUCAAAUAAGAAAUUUCUAACAGGAGGUUUCUUUCCGUACUAUAAUCUGUACAUUACUUUUCUGCUUUCAUCUUUUUGGUAAACAUAAUAUCCUUUUUAAAGAAUGCAGUGAUCACAAUUGCAUUUGCAUUACUGCACA
rnacentral:lncRNA from 1 species